rnacentral:rRNA from 1 species
UUCGGGAAUCUACAUACAGGUGCUGCAUGGCUGUCGUCAGCUCGUGUCGUGAGAUGUUGGGUUAAGUCCCGCAACGAGCGCAACCCUUUUCCUUACUUGCCAGCAUUUCGGAUGGGAACUUUAAGGAUACUGCCAGUGACAAACUGGAGGAAGGCGGGGACGACGUCAAGUCAUCAUGGCCCUUACGGCCAGGGCUACACACGUGCUACAAUGGUCGGUACAAAGGGUUGCUACACAGCGAUGUGAUGCUAAUCUCAAAAAGCCGAUCGUAGUCCGGAUCGCAGUCUGCAACUCGACUGCGUGAAGUCGGAAUCGCUAGUAAUCGCGGAUCAGAAUGCCGCGGUGAAUACGUUCCCGGGCCUUGUACACACCGCCCGUCACACCAUGGGAGUUUGUUGCACCAGAAGUAGGUAGUCUAACCGCAAGGAGGACGCUUACCACGGUGUGGCCGAUGACUGGGGUGAAGUCGUAACAAGGUAGCCGUAGGGGAACCUGCGGCUGGAUCACCUCCUUAA